UGACGCUAGCCCCUCUCUGGGGGUUCUUACUUGGGGCUAUUUUGCAAUAACGGGGUGGAGAGAGAGGGUGUCUUUUUUUUCCUGGCUAUCUUUUAUCUUAAGUUCCUACUUCUAUUGAAUUUCUGAUUUCCACUCUUCAUUUCACCUACCAUCUAGGACACUGACCCAUUCCUCCUUAAAUACCACUGGCUGUGUGUAGAGGAGAGUUUCCAGAAGAUAUGGAAUAAAAGAUAAGAUUAUAACCUAACUACUGCAAUGAGAAAAUUGAGACAGUAAACAUAAAGCUACCAAAAAUUUGAGCAGAACUGGAAAGACUGGAGUUCUUUUGGAGGUAAGAGCACUUAAGGACAAAUGUGUCAUCUGUUUUGUCAUGGCUGGUCUUGAGCAAUAGUAGCUGUGGUGGCCACAGAGAGGAAUGGGCAAGGCAUCAGGCUGCAGGUCAGGAGGUGAUAUGCACACAUAGGUAUACUUCUGCAAAUGCACAGACUGGAAGAAAGCGCAAGAAACUGGUAACAGAUGUGCUGCUGUAGGAGGUCCUGAAGUGGGAAUCUGGUGAGUCAGGGGUGGGAAGAGAAUUUAU